ensembl:miRNA
CCAGUGACUGUUACCUUGGAGGCAUUUUAUCUAAGAUACACACAAAGAAAAUGCCUCCAAGGUAUCAGUUUAACAGGCCA